UGCCUUAGUAGCGGCGAGCGAAGCGGCAACAGCUCAAAUUUGAAAUCUGGCUACUUCGUAGUCCGAGUUGUAAUUUGUAGAGGAUGCUUUUGGUGAGGUGCCUUCCGAGUUCCCUGGAACGGGACGCCGGAGAGGGUGAGAGCCCCGUACGGUUGGAUACCAAACCUUUGUAUAGCUCCUUCAACGAGUCGAGUAGUUUGGGAAUGCUGCUCUAAAUGGGAGGUAUAUCUCUUCUAAAGCUAAAUACCGGCUAGAGACCGAUAGCGCACAAGUAGAGUGAUCGAAAGAUGAAAAGCACUUUGAAAAGAGAGUUAAACAGCACGUGAAAUUGUUGAAAGGGAAGCGCCUAUGACCAGACUUGUUUCUGUCAGUUUUGCUUGUUUUCGGACUUGUUUACUCUGUCAGUACAGGCCAACAUCAGUUUGUUGUUUGGGAGAAAGGCUUAGGGAAUGUGGCUCUUUCGGGAGUGUUAUAGCCCUUUGCAUAAUACCAUUCGGCAGACUGAGGACCGCGCUUCGGCAAGGAUGUUGGCGUAAUGGUCAUCAGCGACCCGUCUUGAAACACGGACCAAGGAGUCAACCUUAUGUGCGAGUGUUUGGGUGUAAAACCCCAGCGCGUAAUGAACGUGAACGUAGGUGAGAGCUUCGGCGCAUCAUCGACCGAUUCUGAUGUUCUCGGAUGGAUUUGAGUAAGAGCAUAUAGGGUUGGACCCGAAAGAAGGUGAACUAUGCUUGUAUAGGGUGAAGCCAGAGGAAACUCUGGUGGAGGCUCGCAGCGGUUCUGACGUGCAAAUCGAUCGUCAAAUAUGAGCAUGGGGGCGAAAG
rnacentral:rRNA from 1 species